UGAUCUGAAUGGGAUGCGCCAAGCCCUUGCAAAAUUGCUAAACAAAGCUAUGCUUUAGAGAUAAGUAACAAGCUACUCUAACAUCCCUUUCACUCAGAAUUAAUUUAAUAUAACAGCAGAUCCGGUUGAAACACUUACAAAAAAAAUUAUGAGAUCUUCAACCUAAUAACACUUACAACAAAAAUUACGCACAACUAGGAAAGAAAUCUAGAAUAAUAGAGCCUUCAAAUAUUUCCUCAUUCUAGGCCUCCCAUAUUCACCAACAUGCCAAAACAAAAACCCUUUGCUAUCGGUAGUGCAAUGCCGCAACCAGUAUUAGCUGUUUUCUGCAUUACUAUUGACUUGAACAUUAAGCAAAUUGGAGGAUGGUUUCUUCACUCCUACCACCUGAAACAAACUAUGUUUGCCCAAGACUAGUAAAAUCCUUCUUCCGAUUCACCAAAUCACUCACUGUAAUAGGGAAUCCCAUAAAAAAAGCCUUUUUGUGGAUCAGCAGACAGUCACCAGCAAAACUGAAGAAAAAAUAAACAAACAUUUAGCUAGAGCAAAAACACAAACUAUAAGAAAUCUGACCAGAUAAUUGAACUAAUUUGGUGGGAUGCACCGGCACUUUGCAAAAGUGCAAAACAAAGACUAUGCAUAAGAAACCAAGUAGCAAGCUACUUUGAUGGUUCUCUCCCUCAAAAAAUUAAUUUAAUAUCGUGUGAACUAAUAGUCCACAUAUCAGAUAUUAAACUGGUAAGAACAGAUACUACACUUGAUCUUAGCCAAAAGGCCGAGAAAAGUAUGAAUUGAAAAUGUCAAGUGUUUAAAUUUUAUAUCUCAAGCUUCAACUGUUUCCUUAAAAAUUCCUUUAAAAAUUUAUUAAAAAAUCAAUACUUCCUCUUUAACAAAAAAAAAAAACAGAGAAAAAUAUGCCAUAAGUAGUUGAAGUGAUCAUUUUUUAUACCCCAAACUUCAUCUACCUGUCAGUGUUCUGACAAAUCUGUGACUUCAUAACUUGAGUAAUGCUCCCAACAUGAUUUCCUGUGAUGAACAGACUUUAAAAUUUAGAAAAGCAGUUGAGUUCAUGUCAUGUCUGAUGAAACUUGAAGCUAAUUACAGUCAUUCCAAAUAUAUUUUACUUGAUAUUGCCGACCAUGUUGAUCCUUCUCCAGUAGGAGUGGUUCAUGCCUGAUUAAGGUUUAACUAAGUAUUUCUUAUAUGAUACGUAUGCUAAGUGUUAAUGGAAAAAAUUCAGAUAUGUUAAACCUUGUCAAUGGAAAAAAGUUGCAGACUAUGUACAGCUUCAAGAAUGGGAACCUGAUUUGUAAUAGGAACCCAAAUAAAUACGAGAGUAACUUUAUCAAGCUCAUCAUUGAUCCCUUGUAGGAGAAAAACCAAGACCAGGACUAAUCUUACUUACAACCUGGGCCUUGCAAGUCUUGGCUGAUCAGAAGAGAAGGUAAUCAUCAUCAAAGAACAAUUGGAAAAUACAUAACUUUUGUUACAAACAAUCUUCAAAGGCAAAAUGUCCUCCUUGGUUUGGUGGAUGAGGAAGGAUAAUUUCAGCAUAAAACAAACAAAUAACUUAGGAAAAUCCAUUUGAUAAGGUAAUUAUGAAACUCUUUUACCUUAUGACAGUCCCAAAGAAACAACUAAUCCAUUAAGAAGAGGAUCCCAGCUUUCAUCUAUCCAAACUAUGCUACGAUAAUUGAAGUAGAAGCUAAAUUUCUUCUUUCUAACUCAUCCACUAAGACUUAAAGCAGAUGGAAGAGAAGUCAUGUACUGCAAACUGGGAUGCUUUCUCUAUUUCUUUCAAAAACAAUUUCCUUCCACUAGCGUUUUUAUGUGCUUGAAAAUUCUUUAUCCACAGAGAAGACAAACACCACCAAAAAACAAAUGAAAUAUACUUCAAUCAUAUUUAGCAAACCUCAGGCUUUAGAAAUUGUAUU
rnacentral:lncRNA from 1 species